rnacentral:lncRNA from 1 species
GAUGUGUUUCUUCAUGAAAGAGGUCUUAUAGCUAUGGCUGGAUAGAAACAUUAGUAUGGGUCAUACUUCUUAGACGCCUGUGCAAAAAGAGAUGGGAAGGUUUGGCAAAAAUAGGCUGGAAAGGAGUGCAGAGGGAAAGAAAGGUGAAUGGAGAAAAAUCUGGAAGAUCUGUUAACACACUGCAGAAAAAUCUGGAAGAUCUGUUAAUACAUUGCAGACCUACGUUUUCAAUCAUGUGGGGAGGAAGAGAAGCAGGGAGGAGAAGAAUACCAGCAUCAGGCAUCCACAGGCUCUGCCCUGCAUUUGAGAAUCCUCUGUCUUGCACAGUCACUUUCCUUUUGCAGGACAAAAUCGGAUCUGAAGGCAAAAAUGCUAAGGAAAUUCAUGAAAAUAUCUUGAAGAGAAAUAGCAAGGAAGCAUUUCAGAACAAAGAAGAAUGA